GGGUGUGUAGUUCAGUGGUAGAACGCUGUCCUGAUAAGACAGAGGUCGGAAGUUCGAUCCUUCCCACACCCACCC
rnacentral:tRNA from 1 species